GAUGAACGCUGGCGGCGUGCCUAAUACAUGCAAGUCGAGCGAACAGAUGAGGAGCUUGCUCCUCUGACGUUAGCGGCGGACGGGUGAGUAACACGUGGAUAACCUACCUAUAAGACUGGGAUAACUUCGGGAAACCGGAGCUAAUACCGGAUAAUAUAUUGAACCGCAUGGUUCAAUAGUGAAAGACGGUUUUGCUGUCACUUAUAGAUGGAUCCGCGCCGCAUUAGCUAGUUGGUAAGGUAACGGCUUACCAAGGCAACGAUGCGUAGCCGACCUGAGAGGGUGAUCGGCCGCACUGGAACUGAGACACGGUCCAGAGGCCUACGGGAGGCAGCAGUAGGGAAUCUUCCGCAAUGGGCGAAAGCCUGACGGAGCAACGCCGCGUGAGUGAUGAAGGUCUUCGGAUCGUAAAACUCUGUUAUUAGGGAAGAACAAAUGCGUAAGUAACUAUGCACGUCUUGACGGUACCUAAUCAGAAAGCCACGGCUAACUACGUG
rnacentral:rRNA from 1 species